GACGAACGCUGGCGGCGUGCUUAACACAUGCAAGUCGAACGGUAAGGCCCUUCGGGGUACACGAGUGGCGAACGGGUGAGUAACACGUGGGUGAUCUGCCCUGCACUUCGGGAUAAGCCUGGGAAACUGGGUCUAAUACCGGAUAGGACUCCGGACUGCAUGGUCUGGGGUGGAAAGCUUUUGCGGUGUGGGAUGGGCCCGCGGCCUAUCAGCUUGUUGGUGGGGUGAUGGCCUACCAAGGCGACGACGGGUAGCCGGCCUGAGAGGGUGACCGGCCACACUGGGACUGAGAUGCGGCCCAGACUCCUACGGGAGGCAGCAGUGGGGAAUAUUGCACAAUGGGCGCAAGCCUGAUGCAGCGACGCCGCGUGAGGGAUGACGGCCUUCGGGUUGUAAACCUCUUUCAGCAUCGACGAAGCGAAAGUGACGGUAGGUGCAGAAGAAGGACCGGUCAACUACGUGCCAGCCGCCGCGGUAA
rnacentral:rRNA from 1 species